GUGCUCGUUUCGGCAGCACAUAUACUAAAAUUGGAACGAUACAGAGAAGAUUAGCAUGGCCCCUGCGGACACGCAAAUUCGUGAAGCGUUCCGUAUUUUU
rnacentral:snRNA from 1 species